rnacentral:rRNA from 1 species
UGCCAGACUCCUACGGGAGGCAGCAGUGGGGAAUAUUGCACAAUGGGGGAAACCCUGAUGCAGCGACGCCGCGUGAGCGAUGAAGUAUUUCGGUAUGUAAAGCUCUAUCAGCAGGGAAGAAGAUGACGGUACCUGACUAAGAAGCCCCGGCUAACUACGUGCCAGCAGCCGCGGUAAUACGUAGGGGGCAAGCGUUAUCCGGAUUUACUGGGUGUAAAGGGAGCGUAGACGGCAGUGCAAGUCCGGAGUGAAAGCCCGGGGCUCAACCCUGGGACUGCUCUGGAAACUGUAAAGCUGGAGUGCGGGAGGGGCAGGCGGAAUUCCUGGUGUAGCGGUGAAAUGCGUAGAUAUCAGGAGGAACACCGGCGGCGAAGGCGGCCUGCUGGACCGUAACUGACGUUGAGGCUCGAAAGCGUGGGGAGCAAACAGGAUUAGAUACCCGGGUAA